rnacentral:lncRNA from 1 species
UUUUUUUUUAGCUGUAAUCUCUGUCCUGCCUUUUUAUUUUUCACUCUGUUCGGUCCUGCCUUUUUUUUUUUAGUUUAUCCUGACUUUUUUUACCUAAAUUGUCGUCCUGACUUUUUUUUUUGCAAGUGUCUCAUCCUGCCUUUUUUUUACUCAAAACUUCUGUCCUGCCUAUUUUUUUUCAAAUUUCAUCCUAGCCCCCCAUAAAAAUUAAAUGGUAGCUCCCUAA